rnacentral:rRNA from 1 species
GAUCAUGGCUCAGGAUGAACGCUAGCUACAGGCUUAACACAUGCAAGUCGAGGGGAAACGAUAUUGGAAGCUUGCUUCCGAUAGGCGUCGACCGGCGCACGGGUGAGUAACGCGUAUCCAACCUGCCCACCACUUGGGGGAUAACCUUGCGAAAGUAAGACUAAUACCCAAUGAUAUCUCUAGAAGACAUCUGAAAGAGAUUAAAGAUUCAUCGGUGAUGGAUGGGGAUGCGU